GGAGAAGUAGCUCAGCUUGGUAGAGCACUACAUUUGGGCUGUAGUGGUCGCAGGUUCAAAUCCUGUCUUCUUCACCA
rnacentral:tRNA from 20 species